UACGUAGGGGGCAAGCGUUGUCCGGAGUUACUGGGCGUAAAGCGCACGUAGGCGGUCUUUUAAGUCGGGGGUGAAAUCCUGGAGCUCAACUCCAGAACUGCCUUCGAUACUGGAAGACUUGAGUCCGGGAGAGGUGAGUGGAACUGCGAGUGUAGAGGUGAAAUUCGUAGAUAUUCGCAAGAACACCAGUGGCGAAGGCGGCUCACUGGCCCGGUACUGACGCUGAGGUGCGAAAGCGUGGGGAGCAAACAGG
rnacentral:rRNA from 1 species